rnacentral:rRNA from 1 species
AUUGAACGCUGGCGGCAGGCCUAACACAUGCAAGUCGAACGAGUGGCGGACGGGUGAGUAAUGUCUGGGAAACUGCCUGAUGGAGGGGGAUAACUACUGGAAACGGUAGCUAAUACCGCAUACUAUAGAAUUAACCCAUAUGGGAUUAGCUUGUGGGUGGGGUAAGGGCUCACCAAGGCGACGAUCCCUAGCUGGUCUGAGAGGAUGACCAGCCACACUGGGACUGAGACACGGCCCAGACUCCUACGGGAGGCAGCAGUGGGGAAUAUUGCACAGUGGGCGCAAGCCUGAUGCAGCCAUGCCGCGUGUAUGAAGAAGGCCUUCGGGUUGUAAAGUACUUUCAGCGGGGAGGCGUUACCCGCAGAAGAAGCACCGGCUAACUCCGUGCCAGCAGCCGCGGUAAUUC